rnacentral:rRNA from 1 species
CCUACGGUGGCUGCAGUGGGGAAUAUUUGACAAUUGGCGAAAGCCUGAUCCAGCCAUGCCGCGUGUGUGAAGAAGGCCUUCGGGUUGUAAAGCACUUUCAGUGGGGGAGAAAGCCUUGGGGCUAAUACCCUCGAGGAAGGACAUCACCCACAGAAGAAGCACCGGCUAACUCCGUGCCAGCAGCCGCGGUAAUACGGAGGGUGCGAGCGUUAAUCGGAAUUACUGGGCGUAAAGCGCGCGUAGGCGGUCUGAUAAGCCGGUUGUGAAAGCCCCGGGCUCAACCUGGGAACGGCAUCCGGAACUGUCAGGCUAGAGUGCAGGAGAGGAAGGUAGAAUUCCCGGUGUAGCGGUGAAAUGCGUAGAGAUCGGGAGGAAUACCAGUGGCGAAGGCGGCCUUCUGGACUGACACUGACGCUGAGGUGCGAAAGCGUGGGUAGCAAACAGGAUUAGAUACCCGAGUAGUC